rnacentral:piRNA from 1 species
UUCCACGGAAGCCUUCCCAGGGCCGCUGC